ACAAACUUGGUCAUUUAGAGGAGUAAAAGUCGUAACAAGGUCUCCGUAGGUGAACCUGCGGAGGGAUCAUUAACACAUGAAAGAGGCGAGUUGCGCAUGCAAAUGUGACAAAAACCAACGCGCUCUCUUUUGUUUCCCAACUCACCCAUUUAGCGUGAACUAAGAUGCCCCUUUUUUUUCUAGCUGAUUUUCGAAUCUGCUGGUGUUUUUUGCUUCUUUUUAUGCAAAACCUUUUCCCAUCUUGUAAUCUACCGCAGUGUUUUAGUUGAUGCUGGUGUUGUGAUGACACUAGUGUGAACUAGCCUGAACUAGAAUGAUAACUAGAGUACAACUCUUAGCAACGGAUAUCUUGGUUCUCGCAUCGAUGAAGAACGCAGC
rnacentral:misc_RNA from 1 species